rnacentral:rRNA from 1 species
UACGGAGGGUGCAAGCGUUGUUCGGAAUUACUGGGCGUAAAGGGCGCGUAGGCGGCCCGCUAAGUCGAACGUGAAAUCCCCGAGCUCAACUCGGGAACUGCGUCCGAUACUGGCGGGCUUGAAUCCGGGAGAGGGAUGCGGAAUUCCAGGUGUAGCGGUGAAAUGCGUAGAUAUCUGGAGGAACACCGGUGGCGAAGGCGGCAUCCUGGACCAACACUGACGCUGAGGAGCGAAAGCCAGGGGGAGCAAACGGG